AUGGUGAGGGAUCUGGCCUUGCUCUAGGUUAAUGGUGAGGGAUCUGGCCUUGCUCUAGGUUAAUGGUGAGGGAACUGGCCUUGCUCUAGGUUAAUGGUGAGGGAACUGGCCUUGCUCUAGGUUAAUGAUGGAGAUGAGAGAAUAGAGAAGAUAGACCUAUUUGAUGAUGUGCUCAGGGUGUGAUAUCCCAACUCUACUUCUCAAGGUCUUAAGCCUAUUAAACGGCAGUGAAAACCAUGAUACAUCAAGUUUGUCAAAAACGAGUGGAAAAUUAAAUGAAUUAUACCAUUUGUUUUCCUCGUUGGGAGUUUUUACCAGUCAGGGUUACCAUAGCCACUCUGGCAGGAAGGCUGUUCUCAGACUAGUGGCGCUACGGCGCUGGUGAUUAGAUCUUAACCUUGGAGAGGGAACACUCAGGCGUAAAUAUCAUUAUUUCUUUCCCUGGCUCCUAAUUAAGGCCGUUUUGUUAAUAAACGGGAAUGUUGUUUAAAUGCUCAUGACCUCACCGUUAAGCAAAACAAUAACACGGGUCAAAAACAAAUCUCGCCCUUCACCGGAUCGUUCAAUAGAAGCCGGUGGCUAAUUAACCACAAAGCCCAGUCUCUUAGUUCUCCAGGCCCGCCAGAGCGCCAGCGUUGCUCCAUUUCUCCUCUCUGGAUCCACCCUUGUCCCAGAGCCCAUUCCUUCAUGGUCUGAAUCUUAAUAAAAUAACAGAGAGGGAAUGGAGUGCUGACGGGCCCAAUCCCAAAUCUGAUUAACCCGUUUGACCCCAGAGGAGAGUUUUCUGAGGCUGAUGGAAAAAUGGAGAGGUAGAGGGAGUCAUCUGAUAACUGACCCCUAAUAUGGUAGCCAGGAUUGCAGAUAAUGAAAAGUUAAAGAGCCAGGUUAACGCUGAUGGCAUCAAUCAGGACCUGAACUCGUCCACCCAGUCCAA